AUUUAUUUUUGUCUUCGAGUAUUUAUGGCAAAAGUUUGCGUUCCAAUAGCAAGCUAAACCAAUAUAAUGGAAUCGUGCAUAGAUAGCCAAGUAGAAUUACACCGUAUAGGAACGGGCACUAAAGUAGUAGUAUCGGUUCGUGUCUGGUAAAACAAAUAGAAUAGGGUCGUGCCUGAGCAAACAAGUAGAAUUCUGUCUCUAUGGAUCUACUCGAAAGAGAAGUUUUGACAAUACUUGAGAAACUGACAGUUGACCUAAUUCAAGAAGGAAUAUUUAUAUACAAAAAUCGAGAAAGAGGAGACAUUGUGUUUGUUUUAUAACAAAAAGUCUCUUACAUUCACUGGAGAAAUCGUCCUCAACCGCAGGACACGAUCACCAGGCAUUCCGAUUCUGGGUAAAUCGUGCACGGAAUAUGGUACUACCAGCAAAGAUACCGGUUACUAUUCUCUGGUGGUGCUUCAGUGAUUUAAGAAACCCAGCCAGCUUCCCCUGCUUCCAGUCACGUAUCAACGAGAAAGCGUACGAUGAUAUAUAUCGCUAACAUUCAGCGACUUCGAUCUUUCUUCCAUCAGUAUGAACCGUGUUUAAUAGCAUUUCGAUGUGUCGACACGUGCUCGCAGAAACUGUUCCGAACAAAUGAAAAUAUUGCGAUAUCGUAGAUAGAUAACGAACGAUAGGAUACGUAUAUACACUACGAUAUCGUAUC
rnacentral:misc_RNA from 1 species